CUCUUCAUCAGCAACACAUAUAUUAAAAUUGGUACGAUACAGAAGAUUUGCUUGACUUCUGCUCAAAGUUAACACAAAAACUUGUGAAGCAUUACAUAUUUUU